rnacentral:lncRNA from 1 species
CUUGGCCGGCCGAGCUCAACAGCCUUGGGCGGUAGGAUGUCCUGACUGUCCUUAGCGGCUCUUGCCUUGAAGGAAGAGUUGAGGCAACACAGGGCUGCUGGCUGUCCAGGGACCCGGAUGCUCAGCAUCAUUCUCUUCCAAAAGGCCCCUCCUUGGUUUCCUGACAAUCCGGCCUGUGAUAUUUGAAGCACGCAGAAAUACCACUUGCGCAUGGUUGAGAAAAAGGUCAUCGCCUCACACUGAGUGCGUGGUCAGCUCGCGCUGCGGUAACAGAUCAAAGACCAGGGGCUUAAACAAUGGGCAUCGCUUUCUCACAGGUCUGGCAGCCGCAAGCCCAGGAUCAAGGUGUUGGCGGAUCUGAAGGCUACUGAACGAUUGUCUUCCUGGCUUGUAGGCGGCCUCUCCUUGUGCUGCUCACACUUGGAAUCUCAGCACUUUGGAAGGCCAAGGUGGGAAGAUCGCUGGAAUCCAGGCAUUCGAGACCACCCUGGG